rnacentral:rRNA from 1 species
GAUGAACGCUGGCGGCGUGCCUAAUACAUGCAAGUCGAGCGAAUGGAUUAAGAGCUUGCUCUUAUGAAGUUAGCGGCGGACGGGUGAGUAACACGUGGGUAACCUGCCCACAAGACUGGGAUAACUCCGGGAAACCGGGGCUAAUACCGGAUAACAUUUUGAACCGCAUGGUUCGAAAUUGAAAGGCGGCUUCGGCUGUCACUUAUGGAUGGACCCGCGUCGCAUUAGCUAGUUGGUGAGGUAACGGCUCACCAAGGCAACGAUGCGUAGCCGACCUGAGAGGGUGAUCGGCCACACUGGGACUGAGACACGGCCCAGACUCCUACGGGAGGUAGCAGUAGGGAAUCUUCCGCAAUGGACGAAAGUCUGACGGAGCAACGCCGCGUGAGUGACGAAGGCUUUCGGGUCGUAAAACUCUGUUGUUAGGGAAGAACAAGUGCUAGUUGAAUAAGCUGGCACCUUGACGGUACCUAACCAGAAAGCCACGGCUAACUACGUGCCAGCCGCCGCCGUAA